AAGGGCGAAUGUCUCAAAUAAGAACUGCUAAUUACUUACCCCUCGGGUUAAAUUCCCAAGCACCCUUA
rnacentral:tRNA from 1 species